GAUGAACGCUGGCGGCGUGCCUAAUACAUGCAAGUCGAGCGAACAGACGAGGAGCUUGCUCCUCUGACGUUAGCGGCGGACGGGUGAGUAACACGUGGAUAACCUACCUAUAAGACUGGGAUAACUUCGGGAAACCGGAGCUAAUACCGGAUAACAUGUUGAACCGCAUGGUUCAACAGUGAAAGACGGUCUUGCUGUCACUUAUAGAUGGAUCCGCGCCGCAGUAGCUAGUUGGUAAGGUAACGGCUUACCAAGGCAACGAUGCGUAGGCGACCGGAGAGGGUGAUCGGCCACACUGGAACUGAGACACGGUCCAGACGCCUACGGGAGGCAGCAGUAGGGAAUCUGCCGCGAAGGGCGAAAGCCUGACGGAGCAACGCCGCGUGAGUGAAGAAGGUCUUCGGAUCGUAAAACUCUGUUAUGAGGGAAGAACAAAUGUGUAAGUAACUAUGCACGUCUUGACGGUACCUAAUCAGAAAGCCACGGCUAACUACGUG
rnacentral:rRNA from 1 species